GCUAGAGGGGGUACGCGUUCGCGCGGCCCCUGCCAAACUUUGAAAAUUAAAUUUUGGUCCUUGCCUGGGGUUGUGUAUGCUUCUCUGUUGUCCCUGCCAGUCUUAAAAAUAUAUUUCUGGUCCUUCGUACUGCAGUUUACGAUGGAUACUGGAGAUGGGAAGUACAGUAUGCUGUAGCAGCUAUAUGGCGCAUACAACACACUUCUAAACUACCGUACAGAAUAGCCUAGCCUUACAGUACAUACUGCUAAAAUAGAACACACGAUACAGAUUGGCUACUACCAGUACACGCAAAUAAAGUAAGAGACACGUCAUCGCCAUACAUAGUUCAGUGGUGUUGAAGGAGAGGGCAUGUCACGCUAGGAAGCCGUUGACUGCAUGCGUCGGUGCGGUGCUUUUAGCCGUUAGGCGAUGUCGAUGGAGCGGACGUUGCGCUGCUUCUGGGCUUGCUCGUCCUUGGGCACGACGACCCUGAGCACGCCGUCCUGCAUGGUGCACCGGAUGCCGUCCGCCUUGGCGUUCUCCGGCAGGCGGAACCGUCGCAUGAAGGACCCGAAGCUGCGCUCCACCCGGUUCCAGGCGUCGCCCUUGUGCUCCUCCUCCCGCGUCUUCUCCCCGCUGAUCUUGAGCACGUUGCCGUCCUCCACCUCCACCUUCACGUCCUCCUUCCUCACCCCUACACGCACCGCAGCAGCAUCAGCCGAUCAGAUGGUUAAGAGUACUUCUCUGUGACCGCCUUGCUAGAAAAGAGACACGGAACUUUACGUACCGGGGAUCUCGGCCGAGAAGAUGUGCUCCUUGUCGUUCUCGUGCCAGUCGACGUUGGUGCGAGCCAUGGCGGUGGCGUCGUCACGGCUGCCGCCUUCGCCGCCUCGGCGCCCGGCGUCCAAGGGCCACGAAGCGCCGAAGGGGUCCCAGAGGUCGGAGGAGAAGGGGUCCAUCCCUCCCCGGCCGCCGCCGAACCAAGGCAUGAGCGACAUGGCUGACACGCACGGUGGUGUUUGGUUGACACGAUCUCCCACGAGACAGAUAUGCUACCAGGCUGCUUGUGGUGGCAAGAGCGCUUCCACGUGGGCGGUUUUAUAGUACUCCAAAUCGCUUGCAUGCAUGGCCGCGUGGAGCAUCGGCUUGACACGUUCGCUGUGUACGUGCCGCCCGCGUGCACAGGUGUUGCCGUGGCGACGACUCGCGUGAUGCUUUGGCAUGCAGCGAGGCUGCUCUGGCACCACACGCACAUCUGGCGUGCAUGUACGACAGUGGCGCUAGGCUGGGUUGCGGGCUUGCCACUUGGUGAGACGAGAUACUUUCUCUCCAUGGCAUGCAUCUGUACGUAGUCGAGGCCGACGAUGGUAGUAAAACACAGAUACUUAAUAGUACAUCUGCAACGGCGACCGCAAAUUCCGCGUCCGUCCACGGACCGAGGACCAAUGUAUGGACAUUGUUACCGGAGACCGUCACUGUCUGCAUACAUUUCAAUAACUAUUUGAAUUAUCCUAAUGUAAUUCGUACAAAGCAGGCGGAUUUUGACAUAACCAGAACGAAGUUCAUGUAAAUUAGGAUAAUUUUUCAUAAAACCGGACGAUAUUUUAUUCAGCGAACUAAAAACCUUAAGAAAAACCUAAGCUACCAUAUACUUGAUGGUGACCUCGUAAGCCGUGUCAGGCUGGCCGGUGGCUCCUCCUCUGUCAUCGUCGCCAGAUUUGGCGUUGGAGUCGGGCUUCGGGCCGCGAAAGGGGGUGGCGUCGCGGCAGGGCUUCCCGGCAGUCGCCCGACGCUCGCAGAUGAUCCUUACUGCUUCUUCCUAUGUCGUGCACAAUGCUUCUGCGCCAACCUAAGGACGUGGGCUGGGGGAGAGGGCGGUGGUCCUUGAAGGAGGCAGUGUUGGUGGCACCGAUCUCGCCGAGAGACCACUCCCGCCGUACUUGGCCAUCUCGCCGUCGAGGCAUUGGAGACGACGCUUAGCCGUCUCCAACGUCGUCACGGAGCAGUCUAGGGCCUAGGCGUACGCUAGGUCUGGAUCCACCGUGAUGUGUGGUGGCGGGACAUCGGAGUCCGCAAAAUUGGACCGGCGCGCCGCGUUGUGCCUAUCCCGCCGGCGCUGCUCCCUGUCGGCGCACUCCUGCACCUUCAUGGCGCUCCGGGACGACGAACAACUGCCACCACCCCAGCCGCUGCCGAGGUAGUGGAGAACGUGACCGCAUGCCUUCGCUGCAAUCGCAUUGGGCAAGAGUGACGGUGAGCGACGCUCCUCCUUGACGCGCCGGGGGAGCAGCAAAAUCUGCUCCUGCUUCAUGUGGCGUCCGAUUUGGACACCGCGGUUAGGCUUCAACUUCACAGGGAUGCCGGCUUUAGCUUCACGGGGAGGAGUGUCACCGGUGGUGCCAUCGGGCCAUUCAGGUGGAGGACGGAGCGAUGGAGCAUCUGAAGGAAAUAUGCCCUAGAGGCAAUAAUAAAGUUAUUAUUUAUUUCCUUAUUUCAUGAUAAAUGUUUAUUAUUCAUGCUAGAAUUGUAUUAACCGGAAACAUAAUACAUUGUGAAUACAUAGACAAACACAGUGUCACUAGUAUGCCUCUACUUGACUAGCUCGUUGAUCAAAGAUGAUUAUGUUUCCUAGCCAUAGACACGAGUUGUCAUUUGAUUAACGGGAUCACAUCAUUAGGAGAAUGAUGUGAUUGAUUUGACCCAUUCCGUUAGCUUACCACUCAAUCGUUUAGUAUGUUGCUAUUGCUUUCUUCAUGACUUAUACAUGCUCCUAUGACUAUGAGAUUAUGCAACUCCCGUUUACCGGAAGAACACUUUGUGUGCUACCAAACGUCACAACGUAACUGAGUGAUUAUAAAGGUGCUCUACAGGUGUCUUCGAAGGUACUUGUUGGGUUGGCGUAUUUCGAGAUUAUAAUUUGUCACUCCGAUUGUCGAAGAGGUAUCUCUGGGCCCUCUCGGUAAUUCACAUCACUUAAGCCUUGCAAGCAUUGCAACUAAUGAGUUAGUUGUGGGAUGAUGUAUUACGGAACGAGUAAAGAGACUUGCCGGUAACGAGAUUGAACUAGGUAUUGAGAUACUGACGAUCGAAUCUCGGGCAAGUAACAUACCGAUGACAAAGGGAACAACGUAUGUUGUUAUGCGGUCUGACCGAUAAAGAUCUUCGUAGAAUAUGUGGGAGCCAAUAUGAGCAUCCAGGUUCCGCUAUUGGUUAUUGACCGGAGACGUGUCUCGGUCAUGUCUACAUAGUUCUCGAACCCGUAGGGUCCGCACGCUUAACGUUUCGAUGACAGUUAUAUUAUGAGUUUAUAUGUUUUGAUGUACCGAAGGUUGUUCGGAGUCCCGGAUGUGAUCACGGACAUGACGAGGAGUCUCGAAAUGGUCGAGACAUGAAGAUUGAUAUAUUGGAAGCCUAUAUUUGGAUAUCGGAAGUGUUCCGGGUGAAAUCGGGAUUUUACCGAAGUACCGAGGGGUUACCGGAACCCCCCGGGGGCUUAAUGGGCCAUAGUGGGCCUUUGUGGAGAAGAGGAGAGGCGGCCAGGGCAGGGCCGCGCCCCCUCCCCCCUAGUCCGAAUAGGACAAGGAGAGGGGGCGCCCCCCCUUUCCUUCCUCUCCUCCACCUCUUUCCCCCUUCUCCUAUUCCAACAAGGAAGGGAGGGAGUCCUACUCCCGGUGGGAGUAGGAAUCCUCCUGGUGCGCCUCCUCCCUGGCCGGCCGCACCUCCCCCCUUGCUCCUUUAUAUACGGGGGUAGGGGGGCACCCCAAGGACACAACAAUUGAUCGCUUGAUCUUUUAGCUGUGUGCGGUGCCCCCCUCCACCAUAGUCCACCUCGAUAAACUGUAGCGGUGCUUAGGCGAAGCCCUGCGUCGGUAGAGCAUCAUCAUCGUCACCACGCCGUCGUGCUGACGAAACUCUCCCUCAACACUCGGCUGGAUCAGAGUUCGAGGGACGUCAUCGGGCUGAACGUGUGCUGAACUUGGAGGUGCCGUGCGUUCGGUACUUGAUCGGUCGGAUCGUGAAGACGUACGACUACAUCAACCGCGUUGUGCUAACGCUUCCGCUUUCGGUCUACAAGGGUACGUAGACAACACUCUCCCCUCUCGUUGCUAUGCAUCACCAUGAUCUUGCGUGUGCGUAGGAAAUUUUUUGAAAUUACUACGUUCCCCAACAGUGGCAUCCGAGCCUGGUUUUAUGCGUUGAUGUUAUAUGCACGAGUAGAACACAAGUGAGUUGUGGGCGAUAUAAGUCAUACUGCUUACCAGCAUGUCAUACUUUGGUUCGGCGGUAUUGUUGGAUGAAGCGGCCCGGACCGACAUUACGCGUAUGCUUACGCGAGACUCGUUCUACCGACGUGCUUUGCACACAGGUGGCUGGCGGGUGUCAGUUUCUCCAACUUUAGUUGAACUUAACUUGACGAACUAUCGUUGUGGUUUUGAUGCGUAGGUAAGAACAGUUCUUACUCAGCCCGUAGCAGCCACGUAAAACUUGCAACAACAAAGUAGAUGACGUCUAACUUGUUUUUGCAGGGCAUGUUUUGAUAUGGUCAAGACGUGAUGAGAUAUAAGUUGUUGUAUGAGAUGAUCAUGUUUUGUUCAAGUUAUCGGCAACUGGCAGAAGCCUUAUGGUUGUCUCUUUAUUGCAUAAGAUGCAAGGGCCAAAUAAUUGCUUUACUUUAUCGCUAUGCGAUAGCAAUAGUUGGCGAGACGACCAUGUGACAACACAUUGAUAUAGAUCAAGAUGAUGGAGAUCAUGGUGUCAUGCCGGUGAUGAUGGAGAUCAUGACGAUGCUUUGGAGAUGGAGAUCAAAGGCACAAGAUGAUGAUGGCCAUAUCAUGUCACAAAUUAUGAUUGCAUGUGAUGUUUAUCUUUUAUACAUCUUAUCUUGCUUUGAUUGACGGUAGCAUUAUAAGAUGAUCUCUCACUAAAUUAUCAAGGUAUAAGUGUUCUCCCUGAGUAUGCACCGUUGCGAAAGUUCUUCGUGCUGAGACACCAUGUGAUGAUCGGGUGUGAUAGGCUCUACGUUCAAAUACAACGGGUGCAAAACAGUUGCACACGCGGAAUACUCAGGUUAAACUUGAUGAGCCUAGCAUAUAACAGAUAUGGCCUCGGACACUGAGACCGAAAGGUCGAGCGUGAAUCAUAUAGUAGAUAUGAUCAACAUAGUGAUGUUCACCAUUGAAACUACUCCAUCUCACGUGAUGAUCGGACAUGGUUUAGUUGAUUUGGAUCACGUGAUCACUUAGAGGAUUAGAGGGAUGUCUAUCUAAGUGGGAGUUCUUAAGUAAUAUGAUUAAUUGAACUUAAAUUUAUCAUGAACUUAGUCCUGGUAGUAUUAGCAUAUCUAUGUUGUAGAUCAAUAGCUCGCGUUUUGCUCCCCUGUUUUAUUUUGAUAUGUUCCUAGAGAAAACUAAGUUGAAAGAUGUUAGUAGCAAUGAUGCGGAUUGGAUCCGUGAUCUGAGGUUUAUCCUCAUUGCUGCACAGAAGAAUUAUGUCCUUGAUGCACCACUAGGUGACAAACCUAUUGCAGGAGCAGAUACAGAUGUUAUGAACGUUUGGCUAGCUCAAUAUGAUGACUACUUGAUAGUUUAGUGCACCAUGCUUAAACGGCUUAGAAUCGGGACUUCAAAGAUGUUUUGAACGUCAUGGACCAUAUGAGAUGUUCCAGGAGUUGAAGUUAAUAUUUCAAGCAAAUACCCGAGUUGAGAGAUAUGAAGUCUCCAACAAGUUCUAUACCUAAAAGAUGGAGGAGAAUAGCUCAAGCAGUGAGCAUGUGCUCAGAUUGUCUAGGUACUACAAUCGCUUGAAUCAAGUGGGAGUUAAUCUUCCAGACAAAAUAGUGAUUGACAGAAUUCUCUAGUCACCAUCACCAAGUUAGUAGAACUUCAUGAUGAACUAUAAUAUGCAAGGGAUAACGGAAACGAUUCCCAAGCUCUUCGUGAUGCUGAAAUCGACGAAGGUAGAAAUCAAGAAAAGUAUCAAGUGUUGAUGGUAAACAAAAACCACUAGUUUCAAGUAAAGGGACAAAGGGAAGAAAGGGAAACUUCAAGAAGAACGGCAAGCAAGUUGCUGCUCAGGUGAAAAAGCCCAAGUAUAGACCUAAGCCUGAAACUGAGUGCUUCCACUGCAAAGGGACUGGUCACGGGAAGCGGAACUACCCCAAGUAAUUGGCGGAUAAGAAGGAUGGCAAAGUGAACAUAGGUAUAUUUGAUAUACAUGUUAUUGAUGUGUACUUUACUAGUGUUUAUAGCAACCCCUCAGUAUUUGAUACUAGUUCAGUUGCUAAGGAUAGUAACUCGAAACGGGAGUUGCAAAAUAAACAGAGACUAGUUAAGGGUGAAGUGACGAUGUGUAUUGGAAAUGGUUCCAAGAUUGAUAUAAUCAUCAUCGCACACUUCCUAUACUUUUGGGAUUAGUGUUAAACCUAAAUAAAUGUUAUUUGGCGUUUGCAUUGAGCAUGAAUAUGAUUUGAUCAUGUUUAUUGCAAUACGGUUAUUCAUUUAUAGUCAGAGAAUAAUUGUUGUUCUGUUUACAUGAAUAAAACCUUCGAUGGUCAUACACCCAAUGAAAAUAGUUUGUUGGAUCUCGAUCGUAGUGAUACACAUAUUCAUAAUAUUGAUGCCAAAAGAUGCAAAGUUGAUAAUGAUAGUGCAACUUAUUUGUGGCACUGUCGUUUGGGUCAUAUCGAUGUAAAGCGCAUGAAGAAAGUCCAUAAAAAUGGACUUUUGGAAUCACUUGGUUAUGAAUCAUUUGAUGCUUGCGAACCGUGCCUUUUGGGCAAGAUGACUAAAACUCCGUUCUCCGGAACAAUGGAACGAGCUACUGACUUGUUGGAAAUAAUACAUACCGAUGUAUGCAGUCCAAUGAGUGUUGAUGCUCGUGACGGGUAUCAUUAUUUUCUGACCUUCACAGAUGAUUUAAGCAGAUAUGAGUACAUCUACUUGAUGAAACAUAAGUCUGAAACAUUUGAAAAGUUCAUAUAAUUUCAGAGUGAAGUGGAAAAUCAUCGUAACAAGAAAAUAAAGUUUCUAUGAUCUAAUCGCGGAGACGAAUAUUUGAGUUACGAGUUUAGCCUUGAGUUAAAACAAUGUGAAAUAGUUUCGCUACUCACGCCACCUGGAGCACCAUAGUGUAAUGGUGUGUCCGAACGUCGUUACCGUACUUUAUUAGAUAUGGUGCGAUCUAUGAUGUCUCUUACCGAUCUACCACUAUCGUUUUGGGGUUAUGCAUUAGAGACAGCUACAUUUACGUUAAAUAGGGCACCGUCUAAAUCCGUUGAGACGACAUCGUAUGAACUAUGGUUUGGCAAGAAACCUAAGCUGUCGUUUCUUAAAGUUUGAGGUUGCAAUGCUUAUGUGAAAAAGGUUUCAACCUGAUAAGCUCAAACCCAAAUCGGAGAAGUGCGUCUUCAUAGGAUACCCAAAAGAAAAUGUUGGGUACACCUUCUAUCACAGAUCCGAAGGCAAGAUAUUCGUUGCUAAGAAUGGAUCUCUCAAAAGAAGUGAGUGGGAGGAAAGUAGAACUUGAUGAGGUAACUGUACCUGCUCCCUUAUUGGAAAGUAGUUCAUCACAGAAAUUUAUUCCUGUGACUCCUACACCAAUUAGUGAGGAAGCUAAUGAUGAUGAUCAUGUAACUUCAGAUCAAGUUACUACCGAACCUCGUAGGUCAACCAGAGUGAGAUCCACACCAGAGUGGUACGGUAAUCCUAUUCUGGAGGUCAUGUUACUUUACCAUGACGAACCUACGAACUAUGAGGAAGCGAUGAUGAGCCCAGAUUCCGCGAAAUGGCUUGAGGCCAUGAAAUCUGAGAUGAGAUCCAUGUAUGAGAACAAAGUAUGGACUUUGAUUGACUUGCCCAAUGAUCGGCGAGCCAUUGAGAUUAAAUGGAUCUUCAAGAGGAAGACGGACGCUGAUAGUAGUGUUACUAUCUACAAAGCUAGACUUGUCGAAAAAGGUUUUUGACAAAGCUCAAGGUGUUGGCUACGAUGAGAUUUUCUCACUCGUAUCGAUGCUUAAAGUCUGUCCGAAUCAUGUUAGCAAUUGCCACAUUUUAUGAAAUCUGGCAAAUGGAUAACAAAACUGCAAUCCUUAAUGGUUUAUUAAAGAAGAGUUGUAUAUGAUGCAACCAGAAGGUUUUGUCGAUCCUAAAGGUGUUAACAAAAUAUGCAAGCUCCAGUGAUCCAUCUAUGGACUGGUGCAAGCAUCUCGGAGUUGGAAUAUACGCUUUGAUAAGUUGAUCAAAGGAUAUAGUUUUAUACAGACUUGCGGUGAAGCCUGUAUUUACAAGAAAGUGAGUGGGAGCACUACAACAUUGUUGAUCAGAAAUAAUGUAGAAUUAUUCUGCAAAGCAUAAAGGAGUGUUUGAAAGGAGUUUUUCAAAGAAAGACCUCGGUGAAGCUGCUUACAUAUUGAGCAUCAAGAUAUAUAGAGAUAGAUCAAGACGCUUGAUAAGUUUUUCAAUGAGUACAUACCUUGACAAGAUUUUGAAGUAGUUCGAAAUGGAACAGUCAAACAAAGAGUUCUUGCCUGUGUUACAAGGUGUGAAAUUGAGUAAGACUCAAAGCCCGACCACGGCAGAAGAUAGAAAUAGAAUGAAAGUCAUUCCCUAUGCCUCAGCCAUAGGUUCUAUAAAGUAUGCCAUGCUGUGUACCAGAUCUAUUGUAUACCCUACACCGAUUUUGGCAAGGGAGUACAAUAGUGAUCUAGGAGUAGAUCACUAGACAGCGGUCAAAAUUAUCCUUAGUGGAAUAAGGAUAUGUUUCUCGAUUAUGGAGGUGACAAAAAGGUUCGUCGUAAAGGGUUACGUCGAUACAAGUUUUGACACUAAUCCAGAUGACUAUAAGUCUCAAUCUGGAUACAUAUUGAAAGUGGGAGCAAUUAGCUAGAGUAGCUCCGUGCAGAGCAUUAUAGACAUAGAAUUUUGCGAAAUACAUACGGAUCUGAAUUUGGCAGACCCGUUGACUAAAUUUCUCUCACAAGCAAAACAUGAUCACUCUUUGGGUGUUAAUCACAUAGCAAUGUGAACUGGAUUAUUGACUCUAGUAAACCCUUUGGGUGUUAGUCACAUGGAGAUGUGAACUAAUCACAUAAAGAUGUGAACUAUUGGUGUUAAAUCACAUGGUGAUGUGAACUAGAUUAUUGACUCUAGUGCAAGUGGGAGACUGAAGGAAAUAUGCCCUAGAGGCAAUAAUAAAGUUAUUAUUUAUUUUCUUAUUUCAUGAUAAAUGUUUAUUAUUCAUGCUAGAAUUGUAUUAACCGGAAACAUAAUACAUGUGUGAAUACGUAGACAAACAGAGUGUGACUAGUAUGCCUCUACUUGACUAGCUCGUUGAUCAAAGAUGGUUAUGUUUCCUAGCCAUAGACAUGAGUUGUCAUUUGAUUAACGGGAUCACAUCAUUAGGAGAAUGAUGUGAUUGACUUGACCCAUUCCGUUAGCUUAGCACUUGAUCGUUUAGUAUGUUGCUAUUGCUUUCUUCAUGACUUAUACAUGUUCCUAUGACUAUGAGAUUAUGCAACUCCCGUUUACCGGAGGAACACUUUGUGUGCUACCAAACGUCACAACGUAACUGGGUGAUUAUAAAGGUGCUCUACAGGUGUCUCCGAAGGUACUUGUUGGGUUGGCGUAUUUCGAGAUUAGGAUUUGUCACUCCGAUUGUCGGAGAGGUAUCUCUGGGCCCUCUCGGUAAUGCACAUCACUUAAGCCUUGCAAGCAUUGCAACUAAUGAGUUAGUUGUGGGAUGAUGUAUGAUGGAACGAGUAAAGAGACUUGCCAGUAACGAGAUUGAACUAGGUAUUGAGAUACCGACGAUUGAAUCUCGGGCAAGUAACAUACCGAUGACAAAGGGAACAACGUAUGUUGUUAUGCGGUCUGACCGAUAAAGAUCUUCGUAGAAUAUGUGGGAGCCAAUAUGAGCAUCCAGGUUCCGCUAUUGGUUAUUGACCAGAGACGUGUCUCGUCAUGUCUACAUAGUUCUCGAACCCGUAGGGUCCGCACGCUUAACGUUUCGAUGACAGUUAUAUUAUGAGUUUAUAUGUUUUGAUGUACCGAAGGUUGUUCGGAGUCCCGGAUGUGAUCACGGACAUGACGAGGAGUCUCGAAAUGGUCGAGACAUGAAGAUUGAUAUAUUGAAAGCCUAUAUUUGGAUAUCGGAAGUGUUCCGGGUGAAAUCGGGAUUUUACCGGAGUACCGAGGGGUUACCGGAACCCCCCAGGGCCUUAAUGGGCCAUAGUGGGCCUUUGUGGAGAAGAGGAGAGGCGGCCAGGGCAGGGCCGCGCGCCCCUCCCCCCUAGUCCGAAUAGGACAAGGAGAGGGGGGCGGCGCGCCCAUCCCCCUAGUCCGAAUAGGACAAGGAGAGGGGGGCGGCGCCCCCCUUUCCUUCCUCUCCCCCACCUCUUUCCCCCUUCUCCUAUUCCAACAAGGAAGGGAGGGAGUCGUACUCCCGGUGGGAGUAGGACUCCUCCUGGCGCGCCUCCUCCCUGGCCGGCCGCACCUCCCCCCUUGCUCCUUUAUAUACGGGGGCAGGGGGGCACCCCAAGGACACAACAAUUGACCGCUUGAUCUUUUAGCCGUGUGCGGUGCCCCCCUCCACCAUAGUCCACCUCGAUAAUACUGUAGCGGUGCUUAGGCGAAGCCCUGCGUCAGUAGAACAUCAUCAUCGUCACCACGCCGUCGUGCUGACGAAACUCUCCCUCAACACUCGGCUGGAUCGGAGUUCGAGGGACGUCAUCGGGCUGAACGCGUGCUGAACUCGGAGGUGCCGUGCGUUCGGUACUGGUUCGGUCGGAUCGUGAAGACGUACGACUACAUCAACCGUGUUGUGCUAACGCUUCCGCUUUCGGUCUACGGGGGUACGUAGACAACACUCUCCCCUCUCGUUGCUAUGCAUCACCAUGAUCUUGCGUGUGCGUAGGAAUUUUUUUGAAAUUACUACGUUCCCCAACAGCAUCAACUAGCCCCAUCUGCUGCUCGUACUCCUCGUCUGUGGCGGUGUACACCUGGGCUUGCGCCGCCGAUGCGGACUACUGCUGCAGCUGGUCCUCCUCGUCGCCAGAGAAUAUGACGAUCUCCGCCUUCAUCGAGGAGACGCCCGCCGAUGAGGAUGAUGACCCUAGAGUUUGAGGGCAGUGUCGCCACGGAAAGCCCUAGCAGUAGCGCAUGAUUUUGUAAUAGCAGUAGGGCGGGCGGGGGCGCUACUAGUAUGUCACUACGGCUAAAGUUUAUCAGUAGCGCGGUUCACAACCGUGCUACUGAUACCUCAAAUAGUAGUAGCGCCGGCCCAAAGACGCGCUACUGAUAGUUACUAGUAGCGAGCCCAUGACACGUGCUACUACUACUCGUCUGUAUUACAUUUCUCUAUUGUUUUGUAGUGUAUUUAUACAUCGUUAUACAAGUUUUGAUAUAGUAGCAAUUUAGAGAUUGUUAUAUCAUUAUGAGUUAUUAUAUCAGUAUGUGAAGGAAACAUGGAUUAGAUUUAGCAUCAUCAUCAUGAUCAUAAUGAUAUAACAACUCAACAUCAUCAUUAUCAUAAUAACAAGUCAUACUCAUCAUCAUCAUAGUCAUCUAACAACUCAUCAUUAUAUUCCUUUUGCUACAUUUUGCUUCUUAUUACCGUGCGUCUAGAUUCUGCUUCCAAGUAUUAGUACAAAUGUACUCAAUACACUUUUUUAUGCUUCUUUCGCAUCAUGCUUCCACAUUAAAUUCAUUUUGUUUCAUACAAGUAAAAGUUUACUUCCACUGAAAACACUUUAUUAAGGUUUACUAACAAACUUAAUUUCUUAUGUUCUCAGUUGACACGCGACAAUCGAAGAGGACGAACCCCAAUGGAUGCUCAAGAGCCGAUAUGCGGCUGGAAGGUUACAUGAUCUCCACCAGGAAAACCACGAUACUUGAUCUCACGCUUUAAGUGUGGCAUAUUGGCUGCAUUGGGAGAGAAGCAUCCGACCAGGAAGCACUCUUUGAGAGCGAAAGAAGGUCGCCUAGAGAGAGAAGCGAUGGGGUGGGUGUCGUGGAAUUGUCACGUCAGAUGUCCUAGUGUGAGGACUUAGUCGUGGAGCCAUCGCAACUAGGUUAGCUUAAAGGGUUUAAACGGGACAAAGGACACAGAGAUUUUAUACUGGUUCGACCCCUUGCGGUGAAGGUAAAGGCCUAAUCCAGUUUGAGGUGGUAUUGCUUAUGUCUCGAUUACCAGGGAGAUACGCUUGACCUAGCUUCGAUUUGUCCUAAGUCGCCGCCGGGUCGUCCCUUUAUAUACACAGGUCGACGCCCGACGGAUUAUGGAGUCCCGACCGGCUCAUAAUAAGCAUGUCCGGCUCGGUAACUAACCGUACAUGCCUUACAAUACAAGUCAUACAUAUAUGGAGGUUUACACUUAUUGGGCCUUAAAUCGCCUUUGGGCUUCGAGCCUUCAAUGAGUCUGCAUAGUGAACCGCCCUCUUCAGCAUCUUCACGGGCUUUGUGUUGAUAAACCGUCCUGAGCAUAACCUGGCCCCUCCUGGGCGGGUUACACUCAAUGGUUACCUCCCCAACAUUAGGCCCCAGGUUGAUUUGAACUUGUUCAUAUCAAUCUUCAACACUUAGAAAAAUCCUUCUUCAUUAUCUUUGUGAAGCCUUGUAACUUGCCGUGACGUCAUCUCCUUGGAUCAUGGUACCCCGCUGUGACGUCAUCUGUUAUUAAUAUUUCACAAAGCCCAUAUCUUAAUAUAUAUCCUUUGCUUUAAUGAGUCUCCGAAAAUCGAAGCAUCUGCGUUGUCACAUCCAUUUUUUGGCCUCCUCGAUUCCUGUGCAUGUCACUUAUCCUUUCAUCUUAUAAAUAGGGCCGGGGGUCCCUUUCACUUUCCGCCCUUGCCUCUUCGUCUCUGUCUUCCACCUCGCAACGCCCGAACACUCGAACUCUGUCGCCGCCGUCGACCUUUGCCUCUGCCUCGACAACGGCCGCUGCAUCAACCUGUUUGGACCAGAUUUCGUCCACACACCUCCGCUGUCCAACAGCCCUGGUACACUUUCCUUCUCUCCUUUCUCAUAGAUCCCAUUAGGGUUUCCCGAAGUUCAUCGAAGUUCGUCCUCGUUCUUGGCUGUAGCACUCAUUUUUUAUUCGAACUUGGUAUCUUUCCUGCGCGGUAAUAUUCAUAGCACUUAUUUUCACUAUCAGGGCAUCUCCUUUUGAACGGAAAACUCGAUCUGGAUCUUAUGAACUGCUCAAGCACCGUAAUUUAGGUCUAGAUAUUUUCCAUUAUCUGACGCACCGUAGAUCCAAAAUUAUGAUAUCAAUCUGUGAAACCUGUUUUCCAUCACUUAGCAAUUUUUCCUUUGUUAGAUCUGUAAACCAAUGACUGUGUGGGCGGCUUAACUUUUUAAACCGUAAUCUGCCAGGCACCAUUAGUCCCCUCUUAAGCCGCCAAUCUCUGGCUUAACACCUGUGUACGCUUUAUUAUUAUUUUCCCUUUAACCAUAAUCCGGCUUAACACCUUUGUACGCUUUAUUAUUAUUUGCCCUUUAACCAUAAUCCGGCUUAACCAUGUAAACUUGAACCGGCGUAACCUUUCUUUCAGAUCAUUGAGGAAAUGGCUAAGACAUAUACUUCUUGCAACUGGGUCCAAUCCCGGGUUACUGAAGAAGAGCUGAACAACCUUGUCGCGAUCGGCGCCUUAGCCAAAAAAGAGGUCAUCCACUGGAGGGUCCCUGGUGAAGUAUUUCCUCCUCAACCGAAAGAUGGAGAAGUAAUUAUUUUUGCUGACCACUUCAGUCGGGGAUUCAGUCCACCCGGAUCAAAGUUUUUUCGUGAUGUGCUUCAUUUCCUUCAACUUCACCCUCAAGACAUUGGACCCAAUUCCGUGUCCAACAUCUGUAACUUCCAAGUAUUCUGUGAAGCUUACCUUCAAGAAGAGCCCACAGUUGAUUUAUUCAGGGAGUUCUAUUAUUUAAACCGGCAAACAGAGUUCACUGACGGGCCGUGCCAAGAACUCAGUGGAGUCUCAAUUCAAAAGAGGAAAUAAGUCAGCUUUCCUCAUGCCAAGCCGCAUAGUCACCCCAAAGACUGGAACCAAACUUGGUUCUACUGUCAAGAUACAUCUCCAGCCGGUGAGAACCCUCUGCCGGGUUACCGUGAACACCGACUUAGCAGCACACAUCCACUCCCCCAAUGGCUUAAUGCGAAGGAACAAGCAAAAUACGCACCAUCCUUCUCAAAGCUCAGGGCCUUUAUGGCCAAUGGCUUAACUGGCGUCGAUUUUGUACGUUGCUGGUUGUCUUGGAGUAUCUUGCCAUUAAGCCGUCACCCCGGCUUAAUGUGCGAAUACACUGGUGAGGCGACAGAUCCCCAGCGCCACUGUGACAUUUAGCUGUCUGAUGCGGAAAUUACUAAAGCUACCAAGAAACUGCUGAAUGAACCUGUGAAGGAGUGUAGCAAAACAGAACUUAGUCCUUUCUGUACCUUAAACAAGCCGCCAGCUGUAAGAACUGCACACCUUCUACUCAAUCCAUAUUUUCAAUAAUUAUGCCUACUUAUGAUCUUUUCAACCUCAAUAGGCCGACUCUCCAUUUUGGAAGAAGAAAACGCAGGAUAAACCGGCCAAACCGGCUCGUGUCAAAACCAAGGCCACCAAGAAGUCUACCAAGAAGACUACUGAGUCCGCUGAUGAUAAUGAGGAUAAUGAGUCAGAGGUAGAACUUGACUCUAUUGGCUCCUUUUUUAUACAUCUCAUUGACAAUGAUUGUUAUCAGGACGAUGCAGAGGCCAGCCGUGCAGGUGACGCAAAGGUAAUUAUUCUUCCUUUCGGCUCAGAACCUCUGCCAACAUAGAAAACCCGACAAGCAAGCCGGAAAGUAAGCUUUUCUCACCCUCUAGCUCACUUGGAUCCCAACUUUCUUUUGAAGAAACAGCAACACGAAGCUCGCCGAGUUACCCGGCAUAGUGGUGGGCAGAUCACUUCUUCCGGCUUACCAAAUACGCCGACUCGCAAACACCGCCCAGAGGUCUUUCAUAUUUCUGAUAUACUUUAUCCCAAGGCAGGUCAUUUCCGACAACCUCUUAACCCAUCUGAUUCGAACUAUCAGGGGACUUCUCAUUCCUCCUCUGGCGAGUCAUCAGGGACACAAAUCCCGGCUUUCAAACUGUACCUGGGUAAGGAUAUAUUUUAACCAUUCACACCUUAUGCUUGAUCAUUAUACUAACCUCUUUACACUUCUUAUUUUCAGGGGCCAAGACAAGCCCAGCAAGAAAGCCAAGCUGAAUAAGCCGGCCGACGAUCUCAAUCUGUCUGAGCCGGAGAAACAACCAGAGUCUCCUCAUCCAACUGCAGAAGCCACCAUUGACAAAUCACCUCCGGAAGACCAUGAGCCUUCCAUGGAUCAUAUGGAUGUUGAGCCGGCUAUCUCUAAGCCGCCAAGCCCAAUCAAACCUGCCGAGGAGAAGACUGAUGACGUUAUUGUCACCGGCUUUGGAUUCACAGCUCCGGGUCAACCUACUGUCUUAUCUAGGCACAUCGCUAAAGAAGAAAUUUCUGCUGAAGAUAAAGGCAAGUGGAAAGCAGACUUGGAGAGCUAUACCCAUUUCAGUGCUCAAGACCUCCACUCUGGUUACUUAAACUGUCUGUACACCAGCCGUGACUUUAAAGCCGGCUUAGUGAACCUGAUGAAGGAGCGCUAUGAGGUAAACACUGCAACUCCUUGUUACAUGAAUAUUCUUCCCCUUAGCCGCCAAGUUUAUUGGACAUGAUAGAAUAACAUGUGUUGUAAACUUCAAUAGCUACAUAGAUCAACUCCAGUAGCCCCCAAGGACCGGUUUAUACUUGCAAUAUAAAUUGGGACUUCAUAAUACCAGCGCCUCAACUUUGCAUCUGUAGCCCCCAAGGGCCGGCUUAAUAAAUAUGUUAAGCCGGGACUUUAACUCAGCAAGAAUUAACAUUGUGUUUGUAGCCCCCAAGGGUCGGCUUAACAAAUAUGUUAAGUCGAGACUAAUCAUCUUCUAGAAAUCCCAUUCAUAGCCUUCAUAAACCAGAUCACCGCCAUUUGUCCGGGUUAGCAAAUAAAGCCAUUUUUGAAGAGCAAUAUGCAUUAGCCCCCAAGUGCCAAGUAUAAUACUUGUAUUGUACUUGGAACUUCACAAUAUUUUAAGAAGCAAUAGACAUUAGCCCCCAAGUGCCAAGUAUAAUACUUGUAUUGUGCUUGGGACUUCAAAUAAAUUCAUUGCCAUCUCAUUUAUUGUUUUACUUCUUGUAGACUGAGCUUAGCAGUAAAGAAUCCCAAGUCGCUGACCUUCAAGAAAACAUCAAGUCUCAACAAGCAGAAACUCCAAGGCCAAGGAUGAGUUGACUAGUGCCUUAGCGGCGAUGGAGAAAUUGAAGGAAGGCUUCAAAGCUGAACAAGCGGGUUGGGAUACAGAGAAGUCAGCCCUGCUGAAGAGGGCUGAAGAUGCUGAAGCGGCCCUUGAGCCGGUAUCUGCAGAGCUUGCUGGCUUAAAAAAACAAAUUAAUGCCAUGACUGCUGCUGUUUUCGGUAAAAUAGCUUCCUCUUAACCUUUUAUAAUAUGUUAUCCAAUGUGCUCCCGGCUUACAAACAUCCUUGAUGUUACAGGAUCCCGGGUUACCCAUCUUGGCUCAGACAUGCGGAAAAAGCUGAAAGCUGCUUACACGCUCAUAGAACAGCUAUAUACUGGCACACAACGGGUCAUCUGCACAGCUGCUCACAACAAACCGGCUCCAACCCUUAUCAAGGACACGUUGGAUAAACUAUCUAUGAUGCCUGCACGGAUCGAAGAGUUGAAGAAAUCAGCUGCAAGAGCCGGUGCACUUACCGCGCUAACCCCGGCCAAAGCAUGGCUAGUUGAUCUUGUCCCGGCGGACUUGGCAAACGACUGUCCGAGUAUAAAAGAAGAUGGGUCACCCUUCAGUGCAGACGACUUCGCCACCCUUACGAGGGAAUUGCGUUCUUUGGCUAGUAAACUGGAUGAAGACACUGAUCUUACCCAUUACCAACCGGUUUAUGAUGCCAACAAUAAGAAGGUGAAAGCGCCGACUCAUGAUGCGCCGGACCUGACUCCUCCGAUCUGUAAGCACACUUAUGCCCCUGAUGUUGAUCCAUCCACACUUAUAAGUGAUGAAGCUGUAUUCAGAGCUUUAACUGGGAUCGACUGGUCAACCACUGACUUCCAGCCGUUGGGUGAAGAGGAGGCAGAUGAACCGGUGCUGGACGAGCCGCAACCUUCAACUCAGCAAGGCCAAGAGUCAUAAGCCGUGGGUCAGCUUAGCGUCUGCUUUUUGCGAAACUGCUAAGACAAUUAUUCCCGUGGGGCAUCAAAUGCCUUUGCAAUAGGCUAGUUAAACUCAUGAUCCGCCAUGCCAUCGUGCAUGUUUUAUUUUGUCUAAUACUGCUGAUCCAUCAGUUGAAGAUAUGCAAUUAUUUUGAUGAUAUCCUUAUAUAGAGCAGUUGUGUAUCUCUUGUUCUGCAUAAAAAACAAAUCACCAAAUUGCUCUGGCGGUUUACCGCCAGGCGGGUCAUAACGCCCAACAUAAACCUACUGGUGACUAUAAAAGGCCAUAACCAGGGCUGGUUUAACUAGAACCAUAUAUAACAAAAAUGUCAUACCUGUGAUAUUUGACUACACUGCCGGCUUACCAUACCAACGCAGUAAGGGUGAUAAUAUUGCCGACUUACAACACCAUAUGCAGCAAGGGGUAAUAUCCCGAAACUCAGAGCACAAUGCUUCUAAGUAUUUAAUAUCAUCAUAUACUGGCGACUUAUAGUCCAAAGUCAGGCCGGGUUAUCAGAAACCAUGGAUAGACUCAAAUAUGAGCCAUAGAGAGUUAGGCUACAUGGCCUGAAUUGUUUUAAACCAUAUGUUAAUACGGCGUAAAUAUAUAAAUCCCAAAAAAUGCUCAGAAAAAAGGAUAAGGAAUCAAAAUCGAGAAAACGAGGCUUUCAUGGGCCGCCAAGCCACUGAGUUAACCUUUUACACUUUGUGAAUCCGGCCUCACAUGAUCGCCGGUUUAACGUUGACAAGUUCAGGGUCUAUAUAAGAUUGACUGUCAAGAGUUCAGCUUGUCAUUCCGGGAUUACCCAGGCGGAGUGGCAGAUUCUACAAAGCAGGAUAACCCGGAAGGUUUUGGUGAAUACACCUGGUGUUCAAAGCCAGUUCACGAGGGUAGUAAUGCUAUGUUCUCUUUGGUGAAUACAGCUAUGUUUGAACAGGAAGCCCCCAAGUGCUUUGUAAACAUGGCGUAUAAGCCGGACCAAGAGGGAUAUUCACAGCUAUGCUCAAUGAGCAAGAAGCCCCCAAGUGGUUUGUGGCGUUUUAGCCGAAUCAAGAGGGAUAUUCACAGCUAUGCUCAAUGAGCAGGAAGCCCCCAAGUGUUUUGUAAGUGUGGCGUAUUAGCCGGAUCAAGAGGGAUAUUCACAGCUAUGCUCCAUGAGCAGGAAGCCCCAAAAUGACCAUCUGUAGUGAUAAAGACUUCAUUAUUCUUAGAAAUGAAACGAAAGAGGCCCUGAUUUAUCAGGGAUGCCGACUUUAUUAUAUUGAUUAUAAUAUAUACAUUGUCAAAAUAUGUACAUCAAGAGAGCCGGUNNNNNNNNNNNNNNNNNNNNNNNNNNNNNNNNNNNNNNNNNNNNNNNNNNNNNNNNNNNNNNNNNNNNNNNNNNNNNNNNNNNNNNNNNNNNNNNNNNNNNNNNNNNNNNNNNNNNNNNNNNNNNNNNNNNNNNNNNNNNNNNNNNNNNNNNNNNNNNNNNNNNNNNNNNNNNNNNNNNNNNNNNNNNNNNNNNNNNNNNNNNNNNNNNNNNNNNNNNNNNNNNNNNNNNNNNNNNNNNNNNNNNNNNNNNNNNNNNNNNNNNNNNNNNNNNNNNNNNNNNNNNNNNNNNNNNNNNNNNNNNNNNNNNNNNNNNNNNNNNNNNNNNNNNNNNNNNNNNNNNNNNNNNNNNNNNNNNNNNNNNNNNNNNNNNNNNNNNNNNNNNNNNNNNNNNNNNNNNNNNNNNNNNNNNNNNNNNNNNNNNNNNNNNNNNNNNNNNNNNNNNNNNNNNNNNNNNNNNNNNNNNNNNNNNNNNNNNNNNNNNNNNNNNNNNNNNNNNNNNNNNNNNNNNNNNNNNNNNNNNNNNNNNNNNNNNNNNNNNNNNNNNNNNNNNNNNNNNNNNNNNNNNNNNNNNNNNNNNNNNNNNNNNNNNNNNNNNNNNNNNNNNNNNNNNNNNNNNNNGAAGCCCCCAAGUGGUUUGUGGCGUUUUAGCCGAAUCAAGAGGGAUAUUCACAGCUAUGCUCAAUGAGCAGGAAGCCCCCAAGUGUUUUGUAAGUGUGGCGUAUUAGCCGGAUCAAGAGGGAUAUUCACAGCUAUGCUCCAUGAGCAGGAAGCCCCCAAGUGACCAUCUGUAAGAGUGGCGUAUAAGCCGGAUCAAGAGGGAUAUUCACAGCUAUGCUCCAUGAGCAGGAAGCCCCAAAAUGACCAUCUGUAGUGAUAAAGACUUCAUUAUUCUUAGAAAUGAAACGAAAGAGGCCCUGAUUUAUCAGGGAUGCCGACUUUAUUAUAUUGAUUAUAAUAUAUACAUUGUCAAAAUAUGUACAUCAAGAGAGCCGGUGGCUCAGAUAUAGUAAGGCCGAAGUUGAGCAAUAUUCCACGGCCGGCGGGUCACCUCCUCCGAUGUGCGUGUGUCCUUGCGGUUUCGAACAUCGAUAAGGUAGUAUGACCCAUUGUUCAGAUUUUUGCUGACCACAAAGGGCCCUUCCCAAGGUGGGGAUAGCUUGUGCAUAUCAGAUUGAUCCUGGAUAAGCCGGAGCACCAAGUCACCUUCUUGAAAGGUUCUGGUUUUAACCCGGCGGCUGUGAUAACGGCGCAGAUCUUGUUGGUAAAUCGCCGAACGAGCCGCCGCAAGGUCACGCUCCUCAUCUAACAGGUCAAGUGCAUCCUGACGUGCUUUUUCAUUGUCAGCUUCAACAUAAGCCGCCACCCGGGGCGAGUUGUGACGGAUGUCACUAGGGAGAACCGCCUCGGCUCCGUAAACCAUGAAGAAAGGCGUGUAACCCGUAGAUCUACUGGGGGUAGUAUUGAUACUCCAUCACUGAGGGUAACUCUCCACCCAACAACCCGACGUCCUCUGCAAAGGAACCAUAAGCCGGGGCUUGAUACCUCUCGGGAUCUCUUGAUUGGCUCGCUCAGCUUGACCAUUAGACUGGGGGUGAGCCACCGAUGAGACAUCAAGCCGGAUAUGCUCACGUUGACAAAAUUCUUUCAUAGCACCCUUGGAUAGAUUAGUGCCAUUAUCAGUUAUAAUACUAUGGGGAAAACCAAAAAGGAAAAUCACCUUUUUGAUGAAUUGAACUGCCGACGCCGCAUCACAUUUACUGACUGGCUCUGCCACAACCCUCUUUGUAAACUUGUCAACCGCUACCAGGAGGUGUGUCUUCUUAUCCUUGGACCUUUUGAAAGGCCCAACCAUAUCAAGCCCCUAGACUGCAAACGGCCAAGUAAUUGCAAUCAUCCUCAAUUCUUGAGCCCGCACAUGAGCUCGUCGUGAGAAUUUAUGACAACCGUCACAUCUACUGACUAGAUCUUCAGCAUCAGCGUGAGCCGUCAGCCAAUAAAACCCAUGACGGAAAGCCUUGGCUACAAGAGAUUUAGAACCAGCAUGAUGACCACAAUCUCCUUCAUGAAUCUCCCGUAAAAUCUCACAGCCUUCUUCAGGAGAGACAUAACGUUGAAACGCCCCUGUAACAUUGCGAUGAUGCAACUCUCCAUUGACAAUAGUCAUUGACUUAGACCGCCGAGUUAUCUGCCUGGCUAAAGUUUCAUCCUCAGGUAACUCGCCCCGGGUCAUAUAAGCCAAAUAUGGAACUGUUCAAUCAGGAAUAACAUGAAGAGCCGCCACCAGUUGUGCUUCCGGGUCAGGGAUAGCAAGAUCCUCCUCUGUAGGCAAUUUGACAGAAGGGUUAUGCAGAAUAUCCAGGAAAGUGUUAGGUGGCACCGGCUUAUGCUGAGACCCUAACUGGCUUAAAGCAUCAGCCGCCUCAUUUUUCCUGCGAUCAACAUGUUCAACUUGAUAACCCUUGAAAUGACCUGCAAUAGCAUCAACCUCUCGACGAUAAGCCGCCAUGAGUGGAUCCUUAGAGUCCCAAGUGCCAGAAACUUGUUGAGCCACCAGAUCUGAGUCACCGAAACACCUCACCCGGCUUAAGUUCAUCUCCUUAGCCAUCCGAAGACCAUGGAGCAAGGCUUCAUACUCAGCUGCAUUGUUAGUACAAUGGAACAUCAACCGAAGAACAUAAGAAAAUUUAUCACAUCGCGGGGAAGUCAAGACAACACCAGCCCCCGAGCCUUCCAACUGCCUAGACCCAUAGAACUGAAUAGUCCAAUAUGUGUUAUUCGGCUUCUCCUCGGGAAUCUACAACUCUGUCCAAUCAUUGAUGAAAUCCACAAGUGCUUGAGACUUGAUGGCUGUACGAGGCACAUACUUUAGACCAUGAGGUCCAAGCUCAAUGGCCCACUUGGCUACCCGACCUGUGGCUUCUCGAUUUUGAAUAAUAUCCCCUAAAGGAGCAGAACUAACCACAGUGAUAGGAUGACCCAAAAAAUAUUGCUUGAGCUUUCGACUAGCCAUGAAAACCCCAUACACCAGCUUCUGCCAAUGUGGAUACCUCUGCUUGGACUCAAUAAGUACCUCACUGAUGUAGUAAACCGGCCGUUGAACCGGAUGCUCUUUCCGUGACUCCUUCCUUUCCACCACAAUGGCUACACUGGUAGCUCGGCUAUUGGCAGCCACAUAUAAUAAUAAAGGCUCCUUAUCAAUAGGAGCAGCAAGAACCGGCGGCUCACCCAAUUGUUUCUUCAAGGCUUCAAAUGCCUGAUCAGCAGCAUCACUCCAGACAAAGUGAUCUGUCUUCUUCAUCAUUUGGUACAGAGGGAUAGCCUUCUCACCCAACCGGCUUACGAACCGGCUUAAGGCCGCAAUAUGACCCGCCAAACGUUGAACAUCAUUGAUACACGCCGGUUAAGCCAAAGAGGUGAUAGCCUUUAUCUUCUCCGAUUUAGCUUCAAUACCGCGUUCUGAAACCAAAAAGCCCAAGAGCUUGCCUGCUGGUACACCAAAGAAACACUUGGUUGGAUUAAGCAUCAUCUUGUAGACCCGGAGAUUGUCAAAAGGUCUCUUUUAAAUCAUCAAUCAGGGUCUCCUUCUUCCUGGACUUCACCAUAAUAUCAUCCACAUGGGCAUGAACAUAACGCCCGGUCUGAUCAUGAAGGCAAUUCUGCACACACAGUUGGUAAGUCACCUGGGCGCUCUUAAACCCAAAAGGCAUAGACACAUAGUAGAAGGCUCCAAAAGGAGUGAUGAAAGCUGUCUUCUCCUGGUCCUUAACUGCCAUCUUGAUCUGGUGAUAACCAGAAUAAGCAUCCAAAUAACUCAAAUGCUCACAACCCGCCGUAGCAUCAAUAAUCUGAUCAAUACGGGGGAGAGCAAAAGGAUCCGCCGGACAAGCCUUGUUUAAAUCUGUGUAGUCCAGACACAUACGCCAAGUGCCAUUUUUCUUAAGCACCAGCACCGGGUUAGCCAACCACUCAGGAUGAAAAACUUCAACAAUGAACCCAGCCGCCAAGAGCCGGGUCACUUCUUCACCAAUGGCCUUACGCCUCUCUUCAUUAAAACGACGAAGAAAUUGCUUGACCGGUUUAAACUUUGGAUCAAUAUUAAGAGUGUGCUCAGCGAGUUCCCUCAGUACACGUGGCAUGUCAGAAGGUUUCCAUGCAAAGAUGUCCCGGUUCUCAUGGAUGAACUCGAUGAGUGCACUUUCCUAUUUCGGAUCCAGAUUAGCACUGAUGAUGAACUGCUUGGAUGAAUCUCCAGGAACGAAAUCAACUAGCUUAGUGUCAUCUGCCGACUUAAACUUCAAGACCGGAUCAUGCUCCGUAGUUGGCUUUUUCAAAGAUGUCAUAUCUGCCGGGUCAACAUUGUCAUUAUAAAACUUCAAUUCCUCUGUUGCGCAGACAGACUCAGCAUAAGCAGCGUCACCUUCUUCACACUCCAAGGCUAUCUUGCAACUCCCAUGCACUGUUAUAGUGCCCUUGUGACCCGGCAUCUUCAGCUGCAAGUAAACAUAAGAAGGCCUUGCCAUAAACUUAGCAUAAGCCGUCCGCCCAAACAGAGCAUGAUAAGGGCUCUUGAUCUUAACCACUUCAAAGGUCAACGUCUCAGAUCUGGAAUCAUACUCAUCUCGAAAAGCAACCUCCAGAGCUAUUUUACCAACCGGGUAUGCUGACUUACCAGGCACCACACGGUGAAAAACAGUGUUCGACGGCUUAAGAUUUUUAUCAGUCAAUCCCAUGCGACGGAAAGUUUCAUAAUAAAGGAUAUUGAUGCUGCUACCCCCAUCCAUGAGUACCUUAGUGAAUUUAUAUCCUCCAACCAGAGGCGCCACCACCAAAGCCAAGUGACCCGGAUUAUCAACCCGGGGCGGGUGAUCCUCACGACUCCACACAAUGGGCUGCUCAGACCAUCGCAAGUAAUGGGGAACCGCCGGCUCAAUGGCGUUCACAACCCUUUUAUGGAGCUUUUGAUCCCGCUUGCAUAAACUUGUGGUGAAGACGUGGUACUUCCCACUAUUCAACUGCUUCGGGUUACUCUGAUAACCAGAUUGCUGCUGCUGAUUCCCCUGAUUGUUCUGCUGGUUGUAGCCACCUUGAUUGCCUUGGCCCUGGAAACCAGAAUUAGACGCGCCACCACCGUAACCCGGACCAUGAGAGCCGGAACCUGAGCCGCCGCCCGGCCCAUGACUGUUCUGGAAAAGAUCGGAAUUUUUAUACUCCUUCAUAAUGUGGCAAUACUUCCAGAGGUGACCGGACGGCCUUUCCCGUGUACCAUGCUUUGGGCAGGGCUGAUUCAGCAUCUGCUCAAGAUUGAAACCUGGCCCUCCCGUCCGAGGAGGUGGCUUUCCCUUACGAUGCUGGCCAUUAUUCUGUGUGUUGGUAUUAGCCACAAAAUCCAAAUUGUUAUUAGCCUUGCGCUUACCAUUGCCCCCUUGACUCGUCGGGUUAUGAUGCUGCCCCUUGGUGUUGCUACUCUUCUUUCCUUUACCCGGCCUUUUAUUCAUCAGACUCGGGGUCCUUGGUACUAUCAGAGUCGGCAUAUAUAACCAGAGCUGCCAUGAGCGUCCCCAUGUCAUUGCAGUGGCGUUUGAGCCACCCUAAUUUCUGCUUCAGGGGCGUGAAACGACAAUUGCUCUCCAACAUUAAGACUGCCGAAUCGGCAUUGAUGCGAUCCGACGAGUGCAGGAUCGCUGAAACCCGGCGCACCCAAUGGGUUGUCGACUCACCCUCUUCUUGGACACAUGAGGCCAAAUCUACAAUCGACAUAGGUUGCUUGCACAUAUCCUUAAAAUUCUGGAUAAACCGGGCUUUUAACUCGGCCCAUGACCCAAUGGAGUUGGCUAGCAGCCCCUUCAACCAAGUGCGGGCCGUUCCUUCCAACAUCAUGGUGAAGUACUUAGCACAUGCAGCAUCGUCGACAUCCAACAGCUCCAUCGCCAUCUCAUAACUCUCAACCCACGCUUCAGGGGGUAAGUCAACUGUGUAGUUGGGCACCUUACGAGGACCCUUGAAAUCCUUGGGCAAUCAUACGUUACGUAAAGCCGUCACUAAACAUGGCACUCCCAAGGUUCUGGAGGUUACACCUAUCUCCACCGAAGUCGUCGGAUAAAUCGGAGGAUGCUGAUGAGCCGCUUGCUGAGCCGCCAGCUCAGCCUCUCGACGCGCUCUGCCCUGGUCUACCAAAUCCUGAGCACCAUCACGCGCUGGAUCAUGUCCACGAGGCUGGUUAUGGCGCCUGUCACUGCUUGAAACGACCGGUGAGUCAAUGUGUCUUCUAUAACCCCGGCUUGGGCGAGGGGUUGAGUGAAUCCUCUCACGACUGUAAGAAUAAGUCUCCUGCUGUACCAAUGCUGUCUGAAGAAGCUCUCUAGCCCUCCGCGUUUCAAUCGCAGCUGGAGACUCGCCUUCAACUGGGAGAGCCGCCAAUCGUGUCCCCGCAACGAUCAUAUUAUCCAAAGGGUUAGAAUAAUGACCCAGUGGCAUCAGCAUAUAUUAUGGCGGGAUAUUAUUCAGACGAGGCGGAUCUGUUCUGUGCAGCUGAGCCGGCGCUCCGGUCCUAGGCGUGGCUACCACCCGGUUUAUCUCUGGCGGGUUACUGGCCCCCGCUCCAGGCGCGUUGAAGAGGUUCCUUGCCUCGUAAACCGGAGGUAGACGACUCCGGUGCCUUCUCCUCAUGACUUCGUUUGAAGCGUUCUGAUCCAACGUGAGCCGUAAGGAAUCAACCUGGAUCCGUUGUGCCUGAGCAUCCAGAGCGGCUCGCUCCGCAGUCAUCCUCGCAUCCUCAGCCGCCAGAUCCUCCUUGGCUUGAGCUAUCUCGUCUCGCAGUUUUGCAACUUCCGCGUUAUGCUGAGCUUGAUUUGCCGGAUUAACCUCUGCUGUCAACGACAAUGUUGUGAAAGUGUCCAAUAAGUCGGACAAGACCUGAGCCGGUGGCCGCACAGGGCCUCCUACCCCGGCCGCCGCCGCCGUUGCUGACCCGGAAAUCAUUGCCGCUGCAGUCGUACUGCCAUGGCUGUGUACCGGCCAUGAAAAUCGCGACCCGGUUCGGCGGCUCAUAGGGGUCCGGAAUACUAUCGCCAUCGGAACAGCCCCCAAGCCUGCCGUCUUGCAGUUGAUACAAUGAAGUAGUCUCGCCCUUGGACGACUCACCAUCAGAAUAGAUGGCCGUCUCACCGCGAGACACGGAUCCUUCCUCAAAAUCCGUCCCAUGGAUGAAUCCAACGAAGGCGUGCUUCACGGCGGGUUGAACCCGGGCGGGUCGUGCACGCUGAGCCGUCUCGAUGAUGUCGUUGCAGAUGUCCGGCUCAGGGCCCGGUUCGCCGAUCUUGCCGAUGAAGACGUGAAUCCCGCCGAAGGUGACCCGGUACCCGUACUCGAUUGAGCCGGCCUCGGGGCCCCAGCCUGCGUCGUCGAUGUAGAGCUUGCUGUGACGACUCUUGGUCAUCCGGCCCACGGCGUACCCUUUGAUCCCUUCAAAGUUGCCCUAUAAGAACUCGAAACCACCGUGCGCUGGCCCCACGGUGGGCGCCAACUGUCGUGGAAUUGUCAUGUCAGAUGUCCUAGUAUGAGGACUUAGUCGUGGAGCCAUCGCAACUAGGUUAGCUUAAAGGGGUUAAAUGGGACAAAGGACACAGAGAGUUUAUACUGGUUCGGCCCCUUGCGGUGAAGGUGGUAUUGCUUAUGUCUCAAUUACCAGGGAGCGAAUACGCUUGACCUAGCUUUCGAUCUCUUGUUUCUUGUCCUAAGUCACCGCAGGGUCGUCCCUUUAUAUACACAGGUCGACGCCCGGCGGCUUACGAAGUCCUGACCGGCUCAUAAACAGCGUGUCCGGCUCGGUAACUAACCGUACAUGCCUUAUAAUACAAGUCAUACAUAUAUGACGAUUUACACUUAUUAGGCCUUAAAUCGCCUUUGGGCUUCGAGCCUUCAAUGAGUCUGCAUAGUGAACCGCCCUCUUCAGCAUCUUCACAGGCUUUGUGUUGAUAAACCAUCCUGAGCAUAACCCGGCCUCUCCUGGGCGGGUUACACUCAAUGGUUACCUCCCCAACAGUGGGCGUAUCUCGCGGGAUCAAUUUCUUAUAUGGAAGCACUUAAUCAUCGUGCCCUAGAAGGGCUCAUCUAAGACUAAGAAGCAGAUUUGACGUCCAUCUGGUUUCCAACGAUCAAACACUGGUGUGAUAGGAUGCAAAACAUCAGCCGUCUGAUAGCUAGUGAUUCCCAAAUCGAAUUGAGAUUUUUUCUCGAGGGGAAAAUAGAAUGGAGAUAAGGAUCAAGAGAUUGCUACAGAGGUUUCCUAGGCAUUCCUUUACAUCCAAUUGGCCCAAAGAACCCGGUUCAAUAUUUUCGACAAUCCACUAAAACGGGGUAUCACAAUUUUUUUGGGUUUGCAAUCACGGUAGCACCAAGGGAUAGUGGCACCAUCCAUGUGCUUUGGGAGCAACCAGGUGAUAUUAUUCACGCGCAUCCAUUGAAACUUACUAGUUCGGAUGGACAAAAUGAAUCGUAUUAUUUUGAGUGAAAAUUACUUAAUCCUUGGCAAAAUUGUUAUAGCACACAUCUAUAUUAUUCACCAAACAUUUGAUUUAUGUCAUUUUUUCUAUACAAAAAUACUAUUUUUUUGAGAGAAAACAGUACUGUACUAGUAUUAGUUUUUUCUGUUCUCAGCAAAACUGUACUAUUAAGUGAGAAAUUACGAAUUAAACUCCCGCCGGUAGUUUUUCUUUUCAAGGGAAACCAGUAAAUUGCUAAAUAAAUGGGAAAAGCUCCCACCCAGUAGUCUGAUCAGAAGCCAAGCGUCGCGUCGGACAUGUCAAAAGCCGUCGAUCCUAUCAGAAUCUCACGGUCACAUGAUCUAUACCCGUCGCCACUUUUCAACAAAAAAAAAUAGAAUAAGAAAGUAAAUCGUCCAGACCCUCGCUAUUUCCCCCCUCUAAUCACUCCCCCGUCGUCUCUUUCCUUGGAGCGUUCCCAAACAGAGCUCACGAUCCAUCGUCCUCCGCUCCGAUGCGGCCCUAGGGCGACACUACAGUCUAUAGGUGCUCCAUCGUGGCCUUAGGGGGCGCAGCCCCCCAUCUCCAGCUCGAUUGGGGCCUGGGCUGCCAUCCAUCAUCCAUCUUCCCAUACCCCGACGGAAGACCNNNNNNNNNNNNNNNNNNNNNNNNNNNNNNNNNNNNNNNNNNNNNNNNNNNNNNNNNNNNNNNNNNNNNNNNNNNNNNNNNNNNNNNNNNNNNNNNNNNNNNNNNNNNNNNNNNNNNNNNNNNNNNNNNNNNNNNNNNNNNNNNNNNNNNNNNNNNNNNNNNNNNNNNNNNNNNNNNNNNNNNNNNNNNNNNNNNNNNNNNNNNNNNNNNNNNNNNNNNNNNNNNNNNNNNNNNNNNNNGGUAUUGUAACGCGACAACCCACCCAAUCCCUUCCUCAGGCAUGUGAUUAGCAUAUGCGCCCUUUGAAGUGCCUCUCAUCAAAAUCAAAGGUAUUGUACCGUGACAACCCACCCAAUCCCUUCCCCAGGCGUGUGAUUAGGAUCUGUGCCCGCUUCCGGCCACAGCCAUACUCGAUGUUUUGUAAUGACAAUUUUUGCAUUUAGUUUUGUAAUGCGUACUCUCCCUAGUACUAAUUGGUUCAUGUGUUCAUUGUGUGCAUGUUAGUGUUCUGCUCUUCAUAUAUUAGGUCAGAUAAUAAUUAGAAAAAAAUAUUUUUUGGGAUAGCAAACAUUAUGUGUGCUUCCUACUCCAGAGAUAUGCCUCCCCAUUUGGCGGCAAUAUUUAUUUUCAUUUCAUUUUCAAAUUUCCGAGCUUCCAAGUAAGACUACCGAUGCACCAAGUUCACAUUUUUAUGCCUUUGAUUAGCUUGCACCACACUAUGCUUCCAAGCAACAACGCUCAUGUACCCAGCACACUGUCUCAUGCUUUGUAUUAAUCGCGCUUCCACAUUAUAUUCCUUUUGUUUCAUUCAGCUAAAAAUUUGCUUCUUAUUAUCGUGCGUCCAGAUUCUACUUCCCAGUAUUAGUACAAAUGUAUUCAGUACACCUUUUUGAUGCUUCUUUCGCAUCAUGCUUCCACAUUAAAUUUCUUUUGUUUCGUACAGCUAAAAGUUUACUUCCACUCAGAACACUUCAUUAAGGUUUACUAACAAAGUAAAAUUUUUAUGUUCUUAGUUGACCUGCGACAAUGAAAAAGGACGAACCCCAAUGGAUGCUCGAGCCGAUGUGCGGCUGGAAGGUUACACAAUCUCCAUUAGGAAAACCACAAUACUCGAUCUCACGGGUUAGGUGUGCCAUUUUUGCUGCGUCGAGACUUGGGAGAGAAGCAUCCGACUAAGAAGCACUGUUUAAGGGUGGAAGAAGGGCGCCUAGAGACCAUCGUGCCAUAGAAGGGCUCAUCUAAGAAGAAAAACUUACGUUCAUCUCGUUUCCAAUCCAACGGCCAAACACUUGUCUAAUAGGAUGCAAAGCAUGUCUGAUGGCUAGAGGUUCCCAAUAGAGAGACAAGGUCAAGAGAUUGCUAUGGAGGUUUCCUAGGCAUUCCUUUACAUCCAGUUGGCCCAAAGAGCCCAGUUCAAUAUUUUCGACAAUCCACUAAAAUGGGGCAUGCUCUCAAAAAAAAAAAAACUAAAAUGGGGCAUCACAAUUUUUUGGGUUCACAAUCACGGUAGCACCAAGGGGUAGUGGCACCAUCCAUGUGCUUUGGGAGCAACCAGGUGACAUUAUUCGGGCGCAUUCAUUGAAACUUACUAGUUCGGAUGGACAAAAUGAAUCCUAUUUUUUUGAGUGAAAACUACUGAAUUCUUGGUAAAUUUGUUCUAGCACACAUCUAUAUUAUUCACCGAGCAUUUGAUACUGUUUUUUCAGAGAGAACAGUACUGCACUACUAGGUUUUUCUGUUCUCAGCAAAACUGUACUAUUAUUAAGUGCGAAAUUACGAAUUAAACUCCCGCCGGUAGUUUUUUUCCAGGCAAACCAGUAGAUUCCAGCCGAAAGGAAAACUAUUGCCAGAAGGAACUACUGGGCUUAGCAAUUUAGAGCCCAACUCUUACAAAUGACCACCAGAAAUAGGCCCACGACUUGGAACCACCACGGCAGCGCAGGGGCGACUCACGUUUAGUACCACCUCGCGAACGGGAGGAGGGUGUAGCUGGAGAGCCGCCUAUAUAAUAGGCGCCUUGGCCAACAUUGCAAAGCACUUACCUGGACGGGGUCAACAGCUGAUCAAGAAGAGCUGUGGCCUAGAUCAAUGGCUCACAUUGCACCUUGUUAGAGUGUGUUGGCCUACCAUCUUCCUACGGGGAGAGUGGACGUCAUAAUUUGUGCUAGAGGGGGUACGUGUUCGCGCGGCCCCUGCCAAACUUUGAAAAUUAAAUUUUGGUCCUUGCCUGGGGUUGUGCAUGCUUCUCUGUUGUCCCUGCCAGUCUUAAAAAUCUAGUUCUGGUCCUUCGUACUGCAGUUUACGAUGGUUACUGGAGAUGGGAGGCCGGUGCACUAGUAGUAAACUUUUGGACGCGAACACGAUUAGAGCUACAGUAUGCUGUAGGGCGCAUACAACACACUUCUAAACUACCGUACAGAAUAGCCUAGCCUUACAGUACAUACUGCUAAAAUAGAACACACGAUACACGCUAAUAAAAUAAGAGACACGUCCACCGCCAUACAGUGUAGUGGUACACUGGUACCGGAGGAGAUGGCAUGUCACGCUAGGAAGCCGUUGACUGCAUGCGUAGGUGCGGUGCCUUUAGGCGAUGUCGAUGGAGCGGACGUUGCGCUGCUUCUGGGCUUCCUCGUCCUUGGGCACGACGACUCUGAGCACGCCGUCCUGCAUGG
rnacentral:lncRNA from 1 species